AUUGAACGCUGGCGGCAUGCUUUACACAUGCAAGUCGAACGGCAGCACGGGGGCAACCCUGGUGGCGAGUGGCGAACGGGUGAGUAAUGCAUCGGAACGUGCCCAGUAGUGGGGGAUAACCCGGCGAAAGCCGGGCUAAUACCGCAUACGACCUACGGGUGAAAGCGGGGGACCGUAAGGCCUCGCGCUAUUGGAGCGUCCGAUGUCUGAUUAGCCAGUUGGCGGGGUAAAGGCCCACCAAGGCGACGAUCAGUAGCUGGUCUGAGAGGACGACCAGCCACACUGGGACUGAGACACGGCCCAGACUCCUACGGGAGGCAGCAGUGGGGAAUUUUGGACAAUGGGCGCAAGCCUGAUCCAGCCAUGCCGCGUGCGGGAAGAAGGCCUUCGGGUUGUAAACCGCUUUUGGCAGGAACGAAACGGCGCAAGCUAAUACCUUGCGCUAAUGACGGUACCUGCAGAAUAAGCACCGGCUAACUACGUGCCAGCAGCCGCCGUAACAC
rnacentral:rRNA from 1 species